GGGGGGGCGGGCGCGGGGCCGCGCAGGGCGGGGGGCGGCGCGGAGGGGCGCGGAGCGGGGCGGAGCGGCCCCGCCUGAUGCAGCUGUGCUUCUCGGUGCUUGCAGCGGUGCCAGCGGCGGCC
rnacentral:miRNA from 12 species